CAGGCUUGCGAUGGUUUUAUUGUCUUGACAUUUUUACAUGUUCUGCAAUAAUUCAUGUACGCUGAGUCCGAAAAUGAUAUCCAUUUUUCUCCAUCACGUACAGAUUUUUCACAGAACGUCAAAGCGCAAUACAUAAAAGAAAGACCACAACACGUA